GAAACAUCUUAGUACCCGGAGGAAGAGAAAGAAAAUUCGAUUCCCUUAGUAGCGGCGAGCGAAACGGGAAGAGCCCAAACCAACAAGCUUGCUUGUUGGGGUUGUAGGACACUCUAUACGGAGUUACAAAGGACGACAUUAGACGAAUCAUCUGGAAAGAUGAAUCAAAGAAGGUAAUAAUCCUGUAGUCGAAAAUGUUGUCUCUCUUGAGUGGAUCCUGAGUACGACGGAGCACGUGAAAUUCCGUCGGAAUCUGGGAGGACCAUCUCCUAAGGCUAAAUACUCUCUAGUGACCGAUAGUGAACCAGUACCGUGAGGGAAAGGUGAAAAGCACCCCGGAAGGGGAGUGAAAUAGAACCUGAAACCGUGUGCUUACAAGUAGUCAGAGCCCGUUAAUGGGUGAUGGCGUGCCUUUUGUAGAAUGAACCGGCGAGUUACGAUUUGAUGCAAGGUUAAGCAGUAA
rnacentral:rRNA from 1 species